CGCAUUGGUAUAUUUAAUCUGUUACCGUCGGGUAACGAUUAAAUCAGAUGAUGAUCGGUUUACUCUGUACAGAAUGAUGUUUUGACAGCUAAGUCUGAUUGAUUUUUGAACAAGGCCAGUUUACUUCUAAUUCACUUGUUCUUUAUUUGAAUAGCUAGUUGCAAUUUCGCACUGAAAAUUAUCGUGCGACUAUUUUUUCCUAUCGGAUUGUGGAGCCACACAACAGAGAUAGAGGUUAGGUCCAGUAACAAGCUGCUCUUGACUCGGUUUAUAUCUUCCUUAAAGGAACUCCGUCCGGAUCUGCGUCGCCGUCAAUGAGGCAUGGAAUCGAAAAGGUCCUGCGACAAGUUCAUCUCCUUUGUCACGAUGCGAACGGAUUGGUUCUGCGGAGGAAAUUGAUCGAUUGGGUUCAUGAAGGAUGAGCAGGUUGUCAUCGCGCCGACGUCGCUCGUGCUAUUUCAAGCAGUCUUCUUCGUUCAACUCGGUCUUGGGCCGCUGAUCGCCAAUCCUCAGAAGUCGAAAGUCGCUUUUAAAAUGGUCGAGCGAUACCGCACAGUGGGCAUCUCUGUUCCUGAGGCAGGAGGAGUUGUUGAAGAGGGCCACUUUCAGGGCAUUAUUAGGAGCAUUUUUAUUAGAAUUAGGUUUGGUUCUAUAGACUUCAAUAUAAUGCUCAAAUUGAU